rnacentral:tRNA from 1 species
GUUGUAGUUUAGUGGUGAGAAUUCCACAUUGUGGUCGUGGAGACUUGGGCUUGAAUCCCAGCAGC